GCUCCGGUGGCCUAGCGGAUAGAGUGUCCGUCUCAGAUGCGGAAGGUCGCAGAUUCGAACCUCGGCUGAGUA